rnacentral:lncRNA from 1 species
GGGUAUUGUAUGACUGAAAGAUUGAAUUGCACAGUAACUUAUCAUUGAAGGAUAUUUUUGAUAUUUUCAUCAAAUUCUAUCUCUUCUGGGUAGUCAUGACAUAUUGCUAAAUAUCAAUCUUAACUUAUAGACUCACAAUAAUUAAAAAAAAUUAAUUUAAUAAUUAAUUAGGAAGAGUCCUAGUUAAUUGGUGCAUUUGGGCUGACCUAGUCUAAUCGGAUUAGGGUUAGAUCAAAAGUCUAAGUCCACUGUUGCUUAGAUUUGG